CACGAACCCUGCCGCUGUUUUCGGACGCUCCUAACUGCCCCUCUGAUCUUUUGGGGUCCUUCUGCUGUCUACAAAUCGAUGUAACGUCCUGCUGAAGGGUCUCAGCCCAAAACAUCGACUGUACUCUUUUCCAUAGAUGUGGCCUGGCCUGAUGAGUUCCUCCAGCAUUUUGUGUACGUUGAAAGGAAUUUCCUUGAAGCUGCCAUGUUAAUAAGGAUUUCUCACACGUCUAUGAAUACCAAGAUGAUCAAGUGGAUAGGCUCCAAGGAAAUAUCUUACAGAUUAAAAUGGGAUGGACCAAUCGUCGGAUGGAAUAUCUUCACCUGAAGGACUGAAACAAUUCAAGAAGUCUUUCUAGGCACAUUUCUUAAAAGAUGAACUGGAGAAAUUUCAAAAAGAAUUUACAACUAUUUUACCUUAAACCUAAAGCCUAAGUAUCACACCUUGAGAGAUCACCUGGUCGAUGGAGCAAAGGCUGUAUUCAUAUGCUGCUGAGGGGAAUGCAAAGAAUUGACUUUGAUUUUAUCAAAGAAAAACUGGAGAAAAGUUCAUCUCAUGCAGAGCU